GAAAAAUCAAAAUUGGAAGAACUUCUUAAGAAGCAUGUCGAAAUGAUUUUUGAGAUUAAAAAUCUGAACACUGACCUGCAAAUAUUAGUAUAUAAGAAUUACAACAAGUUCAUUAGUGCUACAGAUGCAAUCAAAAGGUAAUUCUUGUGUCGAUACAAGCUUUAACCAUGUUCGUAGUGAAUGUAAUUAUUCUUCUGUCUGAAUAAACAUAUAUGCUGAAAAUUUAUUAAUAGUGGUCAUAACUUUUGUGAAGCACAAUAUUGAGAUGAUGUCCAUGUUAAAACGAUAAUUUGUAAUCUAUUUUCAACUAAUCCAAAUCCAAAUUGGAAACUUCAACAACAAAGGAAGAUUCAAAGAGUUCAAAUUCAAAUUGAGCACUUCAACCUUCAAAUGCUUCAUUCUUUGAAUGGUCAAAUGGAUGAGUUUUUCAAUUCAAUUUGUACACUCAUCUUAUGCAAGCUGGAAAUGAACAUAGGCAGCAAUUUGAUGUUCACUAACAGCUGUAAUCUGGAAAUUACAUGAUGGAGCAGCCAUUUGACACUUCUCAUGUUCAAACACAGCUGCAAUUGAAGACAUAAUAGCUGCAAAUGAUGAAGAAAAACAGCUAUUAUCUAGUUGUGGUUGUAGUAAAUUCUUAGGUCUAGUUUACUCAAUAUUUUCUAUAAAGAUGAAGGCAUCUAUCUAGUGUCAAGUAUGUAGAAAAAGUGAGGAAAAAACCUCUAAAAAAAUAGAGAGAAGAGUAUGCUGUAGCAACUUUUUUGUAAUCCCGAAAUUUCAUUAGUAAAAUCUCAUAUUUCUUCAAUCUCUAUCCUUCUACAUCCAACAGUCUACUCCCUUUAUAAUGUUGAAUUUCUCCUGAUUUUUGAUGCAUUUAUUAUUUCUUUUUGUUAAUCUCAUUUGUUUUCGCUAUUAUUCUAGGAUGAAAAAUAAUAUAAAUAGUAUGGAAGCAAACAUGGAACAGCUUAACGAAAAGGUGUUUGGCAAGGAUCUUUUUGGUUACUACCAAUUGUAGUUUAAAAAAAAAAAAAAAAAAAAGACACGAUGAAAACUUGUUCAAAACAAAAUUCAUCGUAAUUGUUGCAGAUUCUGUCCGUGCAAUCUAGGCGUGAUGGCGUCAAUCCUUCUCUUUUUGCAAAAAAGAGAGCAUGUAGAGAAGCUGCAUUGCACACGCAAUUUACUGCGAAAAGUUCAGGUAAUGUAAUGAGUACCAAUUAGUCUUUAUGUUGAAUUUCCUGCUACAGAUAUCCCAUUGUUAAUUUUGGCAAAAUAAAGAAAGGGUGACUUGUAUAAAGAAGGAACACGGCUGAGUGACUCAUUCUGGUCUCCCCUUUGCUUUGAGAGUUUGAGCAGUAUGAUUAACUUAGGGAAGAAGCAUCUUCCCAUUAUGAGCUGCUCUGAAUUAGAAAAUAUGCAUGAUUGAAGAAUAAGAUUUCAACAUUGUCAGUUUCUUUGAACUGGUGAUUGUUUCCACCAUUGAAGAUAGAUUUUGGCAUGUUUUUACAUCCUGUAAAUUCUGCAUGCAUGAGUUAACACAAAUUUCAUCUUGUGUGAAAAGAGCAGUUUAUUUAUGAUCUAACAACAAGACUUGAGAUGUGUAUCAAAUCGGAAGCCAAUUCUCAUGCUGUCAAGUUCUAUACUGGAGCCAUGCCAAUUUUCAAGGUCGUUAUCUUCUUAAUGAAUGGGAAAGUUUGAAUUUACCAUUUUCUGAGCCCAUCAUUGGUAGUAAUGAUGAUGAACUUCUAUUUUUCAAUUAUAGUUUGUUCUUUUGAGACUCAAACAAGGGCUUAUAC
rnacentral:lncRNA from 1 species